UUGAGCACCUGGUGAAAGCAGCUGGGAGCACAGGUGAAGGCAAUUCAGCUGCGUGACUGGAAGGAGUGGAGCCUGGCUGCAUCUUCCUUAGACCUCAUAUAAGGGCUGACUGCCUCUGGGGAAAGAUCUCUGGUUGGAGAUCCCUCCUUGGUGGAGCUUUCCCCUGCAAACCUGGAAUCUUCUGGUACAGGUUGGCCAGUACCUGUUGAAGCAACCUCUGCUGCCUCAGUUAAUCCCUGCCACAGUUGCAGCAGAUGGAAGCUCCUGCAGAAGGUGACUUGAAGGGACUCUGUUGACAUUCAGGCCUAGACCCUUGAAGUGCUUGGUGGUGUACUGAGGAAAGUUCUUGGAUCCCAAAGCAAGAAGCAAAGCCACAUGGUGUGUGGGAUGUACUCCCUCUGUCGUUCCAGUGGUGUUGCUCCCAGGAGCCUGAUGUGAUAGAGACCCUCCUUGUCUGUGGGGUUGUCCUUUCUACCAGCGUGGGUGUUAGAGCAGUGCAAGUGCAUAUACAUGUUGCUGAUGACUGGCGUCAGAUGUGAACCCUUAUGGCUAAGUGUGCAAUCGCAGCAAUUGAGUGGGUUCUGC
ensembl:lncRNA